UGAUUUAAAUUUGAAUUUUUCUAUGCCAUGUGGUGCUCCUCUUAUGGAAGCUUAUGGAAUCUUAAAGAAACCCCGCAGAGCAAAAGAAGGUUUUGAAAGACACAUUAAUAAGGGCUCUUAAAGGUUAUAUCUUUUAAAGAAUGAUCUGAGAUCUUGUGUUUCUUUUAUCACCAAUUCACAUCAGAGCUUAAAGAUAGUAUUUUAAUUGGAUUAUCUUCCAUUACGUUGAUGCUGUCUUACUUAUAAGGGGUCUACAACGAUUGAGUCAAACGAUAAAAAGCUCGAUAUUUGAAAAUUUGCAGAUAAAGAUAGUAUACUGGAACCCUUUUCUAAUUAUUACCAUAGUACUCUAUUUAAAAGUUUGUUGAUCAUAUAGAAAGCUAAUUAAUGCAGAUGAAUCUAAUAUAAAGAUUGGCUUUGCAAAAGGAGAUGUUUAUUGCUACUUCAUGAGAUUUUUUUAUAAAUUUAACUUUGCCAAGGUUGUGGCAUUGUAUUUUUGA